rnacentral:rRNA from 1 species
AUAUCAAUAAGCGGAGGAAAAGAAACUAACAAGGAUUCCCCUAGUAACUGCGAGUGAAGCGGGAAAAGCUCAAAUUUGAAAUCUGGCAGUUCUUGACUGUCCGAGUUGUAAUCUAGAGAAGUGUUACCUGUGCUGGACCGUGUACAAGUCUUCUGGAAUGGAGCAUCAUAGAGGGUGAGAAUCCCGUCUUUGACAUGGACUACCAGUACAUUAUGGUGUGCUCUCAAAGAGUCGAGUUGUUUGGGAAUGCAGCUCAAAAUGGGUGGUAAAUGCCAUCUAAAGCUAAAUAUUGGCGAGAGACCGAUAGCGAACAAGUACCGUGAGGGAAAGAUGAAAAGAACUUUGGAAAGAGAGUUAAACAGUACGUGAAAUUGCUGAAAGGGAAACGCUUGAAGUCAGUCGCGUUGGCUAGAAAUCAGCCUUGCUUUUGCUUGGUGUACUUUCUGGUCUGACGGGUCAGCAUCAAUUUUGACCACUGGACAAAGUCACUGGGAAUGUGGCAUCUUUGGAUGUGUUAUAGCCCAGGGUCGCAUACGGUGGUUGGGAUUGAGGAACUCAGCACGCCGCAAGGCCGGGUUUCGACCACGAAUCGUGCUUAGGAUGCUGGCAUAAUGGCUUUAAUCGACCCGUCUUGAAACACGGACCAAGGAGUCUAACAUGCCUGCGAGUGUUUGGGUGGAAAACUCAUGCGCGCAAUGAAAGUGAAAGUUGAGAUCCCUGAAAGGGGAGCAUUGACGCCCGGACCAGACCUUCUGUGACGGAUCCGCGGUAGAGCAUGUAUGUUGGGACCCGAAAGAUGGUGAACUAUGCCUGAAUAGGGUGAAGCCAGAGGAAACUCUGGUGGAGGCUCGUAGCGAUUCUGACGUGCAAAUCGAUCGUCAAAUUUGGGUAUAGGGGCGAAAGACUAAUCGAACCAUCUAGUAGCUGGUU